GCCCGGGUGGCGGAAUGGUAGACGCAGGGGGCUUAAACCCCCCGGACUGAAAGGGUCAUGCGGGUUCGAGUCCCGCCCCGGGUA
rnacentral:tRNA from 1 species